GGAGUUUGUUGGUACCUUCACUUGCAUUUGCUAUAGCAAGGAAGUGAAACUCACAAAACCAUUAGGCAUCAGAAAGAUAUGUGGGGAUGGUAAUUGCUGGUUUCGAGCAAUUGCUUACAAUGUGACUGGUUCAGAGGAUGAACACAAACAAUUCCGUGAUCUACUACUUGAUUUCAUGUACUCCAUUUCGAUGAAUGAUAUUAUUAAACGAUCCUUCCCAAGUGUUCAUUUAGUCGCAAUGAGAAAUGAUGGUGAAUGGGCCACUGAAGCCGAAAUAUUCUCAACAGCUGCAUUAUUGGAGACCGACAUUUACGUCUACCAUCCAGAGUGGUGAGUAUGAAUGGCUGAAACAUUCCAAAAAUUUCAUAUCAAAUUGUAAUUUGGAAUGUGAUGAUAAGUUGUCAAAAGUGCUUUAUAUAGGCUAGUCAAUAAAAGCAGACAACAUUUUGAAGUUGCGUAUUCGGUUGAAACUCACUGAAUAAGCACUACAACUACCCACCCCAACCGUCACUCAACAUCACCGAUACCGAAAUCUAAGAGGAAGGAGGGAGAACGACAACCUGAUAAAACAAUAUUGUGGAAUGAAGCUGGCACCAAAUGGGGUGAGUUCAAGCCAAUUAAAUAAAUCCAUAAUUUAUUAUUCAGCUACAACAUUAUUUCAUUACUUCAACUACUGUAUCUAUUUAAUUAAAUAAUAUUUCUAAAUAUAAAUUUUUAUUGCAUCAGUCUAGUAAUCACAUAAUAAUGUUGUUCAUUGUAUACAAGUUACCGUAAUCAAACAUACUGAGCACCGCUACUUCACAAAAUAAGACUCUAAUUUAUUGCCUGAUUGACGUGUGCGGACUCUUAACAACACCCUACGAGAGGACUAAGGUGACUAUUCCUAUCAGUCUACAUACCAUACUUUAAAAAUGUCUUUAAACACAAUAUCAUAUAAUUGAUAUUGCUUCCAAAUUUAUUAUUCUUUUUUCAUUGAAGAUAUCCAGGCUAAUAUUUCAUCUAUUUCGAGUGGUACAGCUAGUGCUAUUUCGAGCUGGUUUCCAGCUGCAGUGUAUUUGUCUAUGAAGUGACUUAAUCGGUUAUAAACUUUAUUUUGCUGAGCUCAGUAGCUACGUAUCGCACGGCCCGCAUCUACAUCAAGGACUCAACUUCAAGCCAGCCGCAUCCACGCCAUAAGCACAAACAUUAUUUGUGCCCUCUGUAGUCCAGUUUCAUUAUCGCAACGCAGUCUUAAUCGACUUCCAAAAACCAACCCAAAUUGCUGAGAAACUACAGGCAAGCAUGGGGAGCAGUCACGUAGUGGUGUCCGAUCUUUGCAAGAAGAGGGCUUCCAACGCUUUGAUCUCGAACCACCACACAUUUUUGAGGCAACUAUUUCCAGAGCUAAAGAUAAGAAACAGAGCCGACCAAGUAAACAAUCAUGGAAAUUUUGUUUCACAAUUGUGAGUGAGAUCUUGAGUUUUUGCCCACUCCACCUAUUACUUUGAGGAAGGGUACUUAUCUCCGUUGUUGCAGCACUCCCUCCCGGCGACUUGCAACGGAGCUCGGCUGGCUUUGUUCACUCUACUCUGGACUCUCUUGUAAUCGGUUGAAGUGUGCGGUCGUGUCGCUAAAAAUUUUCGAAACUUGGCUGUGAUAAAUUAUUGUGAUUAUGAACUUAAUGUUAAAUAUUUGUACGUGCGUGUGGAAAGACUGAUGCUCUACCAACAUAUAUCCGUGUACAAAACUGGGUGAGUCCUUUCAAAUUAUUACAAAACGACCCUUAGGUGGAGUCGAUUCCCCCAAAAGUGCGAUCCGAACAGUAACAUUAUUAGAAGGUGGCAACUCACUGAGAAAUUAAGGGAAAAUUAUUAUUUCCAGCUGGAAUAGCUCAGCAUUUCUUCUUGAUAGAAUUUCAUUUUCUUAAAAUAUCAUCAGCAUAUUAUAUAAAAAUAUUAUCAGUAUUAAUUUAUAUUCAAUCUAGUUUAAGUUACAUGAAGUUGAAUCUAUCAGCCUUGACUUAUUCAAGUAACCAAGAAAAAUUUAGAGAGCACACAACCGAGAGAGAAGUCGCCUUUGGAAAGUAGUAGGUUGUUUCUGUUGUGUUAAUUAAUAUUUAUUUAUAUUAAGAGAUAAUAUUGUGAUAGCCUAUUAUUUCACAUAAAAUUACAAUAAAUAAGUUAUUAAAUUA